rnacentral:lncRNA from 1 species
GAGUCAUCUCAAAAUUUGGGGUUGUCCAGUCAAUGUUAAACGACAACAGGUGGACAAAUUAGAAUUUAGGUUCUUUAGGGCUCAUUUUAUUGGAUAUCCUAAAGAGUCGUAAGGAUAUUAUUUCUAUCUUUUAGAAGACCAUAAUGUGAUUGUGAGUUGACAUGUACAUUUUUUUUGAAAAGUAGUUUAUUCAAGAUGA